rnacentral:lncRNA from 1 species
CUGGGAUGAAGACCAUAAUGACCUUUCACGAUUAUACCAAAUCUUUAGGUGGUUACAACACAAUCCCAAUGAUUAUAAUAUGAUUCCAAUGUGUUAUAGCAGGGCCUUCAAAAAGCUUUUGGCGCUCCAUCUAUAUGGACCCAAAAUCACCGAAUCAAAGGUAUGACACUAGCAAACACAAUAAUGACAGCACACUAUUAUUAUCUCUUUUCAUUCAUCUCUCCCACUACUUUCUAACUUAAGCAUUGAAGGACCCAGUUGAAACCAAUCCAGGGACUUUUUGACCCCUUCUUGCA